rnacentral:rRNA from 1 species
ACGCUGGCGGCGUGCCUAAUACAUGCAAGUAGAACGCUGAAGAGAGGAGCUUGCUCUUCUUGGAUGAGUUGCGAACGGGUGAGUAACGCGUAGGUAACCUGCCUUGUAGCGGGGGAUAACUAUUGGAAACGAUAGCUAAUACCGCAUAACAAUGAAUGACUCAUGUCAUUUAUUUGAAAGGGGCAAUUGCUCCACUACAAGAUGGACCUGCGUUGUAUUAGCUAGUAGGUGAGGUAACGGCUCACCUAGGCGACGAUACAUAGCCGACCUGAGAGGGUGAUCGGCCACACUGGGACUGAGACACGGCCCAGACUCCUACGGGAGGCAGCAGUAGGGAGUCUUCGGCAAUGGGGGCAACCCUGACCGAGCAACGCCGCGUGAGUGAAGAAGGUUUUCGGAUCGUAAAGCUCUGUUGUAAGUCAAGAACGAGUGUGAGAGUGGAAAGUUCACACUGUGACGGUAGCUUACCAGAAAGGGACGGCUAACUACGUGCCAGCAGCCGCGGUAAUACGUAGGUCCCGAGCGUUGUCCGGAUUUAUUGGGCGUAAAGCGAGCGCAGGCGGUUUGAUAAGUCUGAAGUUAAAGGCUGUGGCUCAACCAUAGUUCGCUUUGGAAACUGUCAAACUUGAGUGCAGAAGGGGAGAGUGGAAUUCCAUGUGUAGCGGUGAAAUGCGUAGAUAUAUGGAGGAACACCGGUGGCGAAAGCGGCUCUCUGGUCUGUAACUGACGCUGAGGCUCGAAAGCGUGGGGAGCGAACAGGAUUAGAUACCCUGGUAGUCCACGCCGUAAACGAUGAGUGCUAGGUGUUGGAUCCUUUCCGGGAUUCAGUGCCGCAGCUAACGCAUUAAGCACUCCGCCUGGGAGUA